UACGUAGGGCGCAAGCGUUGUCCGGAAUUAUUGGGCGUAAAGAGCUCGUAGGCGGUUUGUCGCGUCUGCUGUGAAAACCUAAGGCUCAACCUUGGGCUUGCAGUGGGUACGGGCAGACUAGAGUGCGGUAGGGGUGACUGGAAUUCCUGGUGUAGCGGUGGAAUGCGCAGAUAUCAGGAGGAACACCAAUGGCGGAAGGCAGCUCGCUGGAACGGUACU
rnacentral:rRNA from 1 species